rnacentral:lncRNA from 1 species
AGCCAGGCUCCUCAGAGGUGAGGAGACCUAAGAGAUGGCACGGGACGGAAACAAGCAGAAGGAGGUUCAAGAAGGGUUGAAGUAGCGAGGAUGAGAUGCACACAUGCAUGGCAUUGACAAAGGACAGGCUGAUUUAAUUAAAAAGAAGGGGAUGGUGCACGCACCAGUCCGCUAUCCACAGCUGUGACAAAAGACCUGAAGAAGUCAAGGCAUGAAGUUGGCAGUUCUGAAGGAGAAGAUUCGUGUAGAACGGCUGAGGAUACAAAGAUGGUGGAGGCAUCGCCUCUGACCUGAGGAGUUCGUGGUACAUGCUAGCAGAAGCCCAGGCAGCCAGGAAGAGCUCAUCAGUUAAGGAGUUAGAGGUCCGCUCUGCAGGAAGUGGGAAGCCCUGAGGAGUCUGGGCAGGAGAGACCAUUGCCAGCAGAUGUCCACUCUGCCUGGCAGUGGCUUGGAGUCCACGGCAGUGAGAUCUACAGUCGAUAGAUUCUGACUUCAGAGAAAGGCUCAACUUGAACUGUUCUUGCCUGGACAAAUUUCCUGUGGCCUUGAGCCUCCCAAUAGAUGCUUCUCUGAGAGGAUCUGGAGCUGGGAAACGUUGGAUAUUUUUAAAUCAUGGUGCGAACUGGGCAAGUUGGCUGGAUCUGACUGAAGCCUCCCAAACCCAGAGAUCUAUCUCUGCCUGCCACUGCUGGACUCACAGAGUACACCACCUGUGAUCACAGAGCACCACCUGGACUCACAGAGGUGCACCACCCAGGCUCACAGAGGUGCACCACCCAGGCUCACAGAGGUGCAUCACCUGGGCUCACAGAGGUGCACCACCCAGGCUCACAGAG